CACUCACACACUCUUUCACUCACUCACUCACUCACUCACUCACUGCACCAAACUACACCUCCUCUCACUCACUCAAUGCACCAACCCAGACCUCUCACUCACUCACUCACUCACUCAUUCAUUCAGCCAUUACUAGUUAUUAUGGGCAUUUAUUUAGUAUUAUGUAUGUUUAUGUAUCCUCUAUAUGUGUUCAGCCUUACACACACACACACACACACACACACACACACACACACACACACACACACACACAGACUUAGCAAUGCAAUGUUCUGUAAGUCGUGUUGAAGUGGCGAGCGAGUAAGACAGACAGGCAGACGGACGGACGUACGUACAAACAAACAGACAGACAGACAGACAGACAGACAGAGACACACACCACAAGGCACAUCGCGCUAGCACUGUGAUGCCAACUUAGUACAUAUACACUUAACAGUACGUGGCAUAUAUGUUAUUAGUAUAUACAUAUGCAUAUAUAUAUAUAAAUAAAUCAUAUAUAUA